rnacentral:rRNA from 1 species
CUGGGCGUUAAGUUGCAGGGUAUAGACCCGAAACCCGGUGAUCUAGCCAUGGGCAGGUUGAAGGUUGGGUAACACUAACUGGAGGACCGAACCGACUAAUGUUGAAAAAUUAGCGGAUGACUUGUGGCUGGGGGUGAAAGGCCAAUCAAACCGGGAGAUAGCUGGUUCUCCCCGAAAGCUAUUUAGGUAGCGCCUCGUGAAUUCAUCUCCGGGGGUAGAGCACUGUUUCGGCAAGGGGGUCAUCCCGACUUACCAACCCGAUGCAAACUGCGAAUACCGGAGAAUGUUAUCACGGGAGACACACGGCGGGUGCUAACGUCCGUCGUGAAGAGGGAAACAACCCAGACCGCCAGCUAAGGUCCCAAAGUCAUGGUUAAGUGGGAAACGAUGUGGGAAGGCCCAGACAGCCAGGAUGUUGGCUUAGAAGCAGCCAUCAUUUAAAGAAAGCGUAAUAGCUCACUGGUCGAGUCGGCCUGCGCGGAAGAUGUAACGGGGCUAAACCAUGCACCGAAGCUGCGGCAGCGACGCUGAUGCGUUGUUGGGUAGGGGAGCGUUCUGUAAGCCUGUGAAGGUGUGCUGUGAGGCAUGCUGGAGGUAUCAGAAGUGCGAAUGCUGACAUAAGUAACGAUAAAGCGGGUGAAAAGCCCGCUCGCCGGAAGACCAAGGGUUCCUGUCCAACGUUAAUCGGGGCAGGGUGAGUCGACCCCUAAGGCGAGGCCGAAAGGCGUAGUCGAUGGGAAACAGGUUAAUAUUCCUGUACUUGGUGUUACUGCGAAGGGGGGACGGAGAAGGCUAUGUUGGCCGGGCGACGGUUGUCCCGGUUUAAGCGUGUAGGCUGGUUUUCCAGGCAAAUCCGGAAAAUCAAGGCUGAGGCGUGAUGACGAGGCACUACGGUGCUGAAGCAACAAAUGCCCUGCUUCCAGGAAAAGCCUCUAAGCAUCAGGUAACAUCAAAUCGUACCCCAAACCGACACAGGUGGUCAGGUAGAGAAUACCAAGGCGCUUGAGAGAACUCGGGUGAAGGAACUAGGCAAAAUGGUGCCGUAACUUCGGGAGAAGGCACGCUGAUAUGUAGGUGAAGCGACUUGCUCGUGGAGCUGAAAUCAGUCGAAGAUACCAGCUGGCUGCAACUGUUUAUUAAAAACACAGCACUGUGCAAACACGAAAGUGGACGUAUACGGUGUGACGCCUGCCCGGUGCCGGAAGGUUAAUUGAUGGGGUCAGCGCAAGCGAAGCUCUUGAUCGAAGCCCCGGUAAACGGCGGCCGUAACUAUAACGGUCCUAAGGUAGCGAAAUUCCUUGUCGGGUAAGUUCCGACCUGCACGAAUGGCGUAAUGAUGGCCAGGCUGUCUCCACCCGAGACUCAGUGAAAUUGAACUCGCUGUGAAGAUGCAGUGUACCCGCGGCAAGACGGAAAGACCCCGUGAACCUUUACUAUAGCUUGACACUGAACAUUGAGCCUUGAUGUGUAGGAUAGGUGGGAGGCUUUGAAGUGUGGACGCCAGUCUGCAUGGAGCCGGCCUUGAAAUACCACCCUUUAAUGUUUGAUGUUCUAACGUUGACCCGUGAUCCGGGUUGCGGACAGUGUCUGGUGGGUAGUUUGACUGGGGCGGUCUCCUCCUAAAGAGUAACGGAGGAGCACGAAGGUUGGCUAAUCCUGGUCGGACAUCAGGAGGUUAGUGCAAUGGCAUAAGCCAGCUUGACUGCGAGCGUGACGGCGCGAGCAGGUGCGAAAGCAGGUCAUAGUGAUCCGGUGGUUCUGAAUGGAAGGGCCAUCGCUCAACGGAUAAAAGGUACUCCGGGGAUAACAGGCUGAUACCGCCCAAGAGUUCAUAUCGACGGCGGUGUUUGGCACCUCGAUGUCGGCUCAUCACAUCCUGGGGCUGAAGUAGGUCCCAAGGGUAUGGCUGUUCGCCAUUUAAAGUGGUACGCGAGCUGGGUUUAGAACGUCGUGAGACAGUUCGGUCCCUAUCUGCCGUGGGCGCUGGAGAACUGAGGGGGGCUGCUCCUAG